rnacentral:snoRNA from 1 species
AAGACUAUACUUCACAGGAUCAUUUCUGUAGUCAGUCUUCUUUAUUUUUCAUUGCAAAAUGAAAAAUUUCGUACCCGCGAUGAGGAUGUAUAUCGUUUUAUCUGUAGCGUGAGGUUUUGAAUUUUGUCCUUUGUUUUCUAGUCUUUUCGGGGACUAGUUGGGAUAAGAUUUCUUCGAUGAUCGCUCGGUUAACACGGAUAAAACGACUUCUGAGUGGU